UACGGAGGGGGCGAGCGUUAUUCGGAAUUAUUGGGCGUAAAGGGCGCGUAGGCGGCUUGACAAGUCAAAGGUGAAAUCCCUCGGCUCAACUGAGGAACUGCCUUUGAAACUGUCUGGCUUGAGGCCGGGAGGGGGUAGCGGAAUUCCCAGUGUAGCGGUGAAAUGCGUAGAUAUUGGGAGGAACACCAGUGGCGAAGGCGGCUACCUGGACCGGUUCUGACGCUGAGGCGCGAAAGCGUGGGUAGCAAACAGG
rnacentral:rRNA from 1 species